AAUCCAUGCAUCGGGCACUUUUAGAGUAGCUCCUUGAAACUUUCCUAAGCUUCAUAUAAAUAUUUGUCUUCAAGAUUCUAAAAAGAGGUAAUGUCAUUCCUUAGCUU